GAGCCCGACAGAAGAAGGAAGACUGAGAUACUCAGGAGGAGAGGAGGAGAGGGAAGAGAGAGCCCCAGGGUUGGAGGUGUCAGCCGGACCCCUCCACAUCCUCUUUCUCUCUGGCGAGGGGAGUGGGCUCUUCACUGUGUGGAGAAAUGUCAGUCUUCCCCAUCGUUUGUCUUCCAUCUCACAUCCUGGAGUGGGACAAGUCCGUGCCCCUCACUGGGCCUCUCUCCUCUCCUUCUGGGCUGCAGAUUAUGAUGCCAGGACAGGUGUGCGGCCCUUCAGGCUCAGCCCCUGACUCAGAAAUCAGCCAAGGAACUGCGGAAACACAGAGGCAGAAAGGUGAUGUCAUCCUGUUCAGCAGCCUGUCUCAGGGCAAGAACGUGUGCCACAACCCAGCUGAGCCCCAGGACUUAACAGAAGGAGAGAUUCCACCCUUCCACAACCCUCUCUGGCUCACUCCUUCCCAUGGCCCGCAUUUCUCCAGGGAAGUCCUUCCUGAGGGCUAACUUAAGUGC
rnacentral:lncRNA from 1 species